AUUGGACGCUGGCGGAAUGCUUUACACAUGCAAGUCGAACGGCAGCACGGACUUCGGUCUGGUGGCGAGUGGCGAACGGGUGAGUAAUGUAUCGGAACGUGCCCAGUCGUGGGGGAUAACGUAGUGAAAAUUACGCUAAUACCGCAUACGAUCUAUGAAUGAAAGCGGGGGAUCGCAAGACCUCACGCGAUUGGAGCGGCCGGUAUCAGAUUAGGUAGUUGGUGGGGUAAAGGCCCACCAAGCCAACGAUCUGUAGCUGGUCUGAGAGGACGACCAGCCACACUGGAACUGAGACACGGUCCAGACUCCUACGGGAGGCAGCAGUGGGGAAUUUUGGACAAUGGGCGAAAGCCUGAUCCAGCCAUUCCGCGUGCAGGAUGAAGGCCCUCGGGUUGUAAACUGCUUUUGUACAGAACGAAAAGGUUUCUACUAAUACUAGGAGCUCAUGACGGUACUGUAGGAAUAAGCACCGGCUAACUACGUGCCAGCCGCCGCCGUAA
rnacentral:rRNA from 1 species